GACGAACCGUGCGAACGUUGUUCGGAAUCACUGGGCUUAAAGGGCGCGUAGGCGGCUGCACAAGUCCGGGGUGAAAGCCCCCAGCUCAACUGGGGAAGUGCCUUGGAAACUGUGUAGCUCGAGGGAGGUAGGGGUCGUGGGAACUUCCGGUGGAGCGGUGAAAUGCGUUGAUAUCGGAAGGAACGCCGGUGGCGAAAGCGCACGACUGGACCUCUGCUGACGCUGAGGCGCGAAAGCCAGGGGGAGCAAACGGG
rnacentral:rRNA from 1 species